GUAAAACGCUUCCGUUUGUUUAGGGGAAAGAACCAAAGUGUCGUAGAAGUCAACUGGCUUCGGCACCUUUCGACGGGUACCCUAACCCAGGAUAGGCCAACGGCCUAACGUACGGUGCCCAGCCGGCCGCCGGUAAUUACGUAAGGUGGCCAAGGGCUUUUUCCGGGAAUUAGUUGGGCGUUAAAUGGGCUUUGCAGGGCGGUUUCCUGAAGUCCUGAUGUGAAAGGCCCCGGGCUCAAGCCGGGGAGGGUCAUUGGAAACUGGGAAACUUGAGUGCAGAAGAGGAGAGUGGAAUUCCACGUGUAGCGGUGAAAUGCGUAGAGAUGUGGAGGAACACCAGUGGCGAAGGCGACUCUCUGGUCUGUAACUGACGCUGAGGAGCGAAAGCGUGGGGAGCGAACAGGAUUAGAUACCCUGGUAGUCCACGCCGUAAACGAUGAGUGCUAAGUGUUAGGGGGUUUCCGCCCCUUAGUGCUGCAGCUAACGCAUUAAGCACUCCGCCUGGGGAGUACGGUCGCAAGACUGAAACUCAAAGGAAUUGACGGGGGCCCGCACAAGCGGUGGAGCAUGUGGUUUAAUUCGAAGCAACGCGAAGAACCUUACCAGGUCUUGACAUCCUCUGACAACCCUAGAGAUAGGGCUUUCCCUUCGGGGACAGAGUGACAGGUGGUGCAUGGUUGUCGUCAGCUCGUGUCGUGAGAUGUUGGGUUAAGUCCCGCAACGAGCGCAACCCUUGAUCUUAGUUGCCAGCAUUCAGUUGGGCACUCUAAGGUGACUGCCGGUGACAAACCGGAGGAAGGUGGGGAUGACGUCAAAUCAUCAUGCCCCUUAUGACCUGGGCUACACACGUGCUACAAUGGACAGAACAAAGGGCUGCAAGACCGCAAGGUUUAGCCAAUCCCAUAAAUCUGUUCUCAGUUCGGAUCGCAGUCUGCAACUCGACUGCGUGAAGCUGGAAUCGCUAGUAAUCGCGAUCAGCAU
rnacentral:rRNA from 1 species